UUGCUCCUUGACCUGAGAAUACAGCUCAGGAGCAAGUGUCUUCCCCUGAGGUCUCAUGGGUGGAUCUGCCUGAAGUCCCUUCCUGUGGUACAGCGAUAAGACAUCUGUCUUAUUGAAUAACAUCAAUCAAGCCUUAACCAUGCCAUGUCAGAAAGCGUGGGUUGUGACUGACUCAUCAACACAUCUUGCGCAGAGUUUGCUUCUCCAGUCCCAAGGAGUGCCUAGAUCAGGGAUCUACAUCAGGACCCUUUGUUGCAAGGUGCUGUACACACAAACAAUUUUUAUUUCUGUAUGAUACAAGAGGGCUCCUUCAAGGACCUGGGUCACCGAAUUGGCAUUUGGACAGCUUGCAUAAAAGCCUUCAGAGGAUUGCCUCAUUUUCCUCACAGUGGUGUGACAGCAGGCAUAGCUGAGCUUCAAGAGUCUCCUGUGAACAGCGGGAUUUGAAUCGGUGACUGUCAGCAUCCAAUCUUAUGAGGUCAGAGUUACUGGAAUGGGCAGUCCAGUAGGUGCUUCUGCUCUGUGGACAGAGGUGACAUGAAACACUUGGCCACGAGACCAUCCUUCUGCCUUUAAAAUGUAUUGAAUACCUUCGCGAUGGCACUGGACUGCAAUGCAGGAGACCUGGGUCAAAUUUCUAGCUCAUCCAUGGAGUGAUGUGGAAAAAGGCCACCGUGAGGAAUGUGUACUUUUGAACAUGACCGAGAUAGUGUUUCCAGGGGAAAAAAAUAAAGCUAAGGUACAAAACUAAAUUUAUAUGCAAUAACAUUAUUAUAUUCUGCUUCUUUUAAGCAGACUCUUCUGGAAUUUAUGUACAGUACAUGACAGAUUUUAAAACUAUGUAUACCACAGUUAGAGCAAGACCUUUAAUACUCUAGUUUUAAGACAGUUUUGUUAAGGAUUCUUUUAAAGCUUUUAACAGUUAGAUACAGUACAUAAAGAUGCUGGGGUUUUUAAACCAAUGCAAAGACUGACCAACUUAAAAAUCCGCUGUCACCACAUGGUCUUGCACCCCAUGCUGUCGUUUUUGCACUGAGAUGCAGGGCAAUGCUAAACAAACAGUCCUCCAUGUUUCGUAAGUGCUAGACCCGAUUGUGGUAGAUUAACUGGGUAAGGGAGUUUUACAAGAGAGGAUUAAGACUGUAUGUCACUGAGACCAAGAAUCCAAACAUGACAUUCAUAUUCGUCCAUGGCCAGCACAGAUUCAUAACACAAAUUCCACUGAUAGCUUUUAAUGGAUCUAUCCUAAAGAUAUCACCACCUAUCAGCCUCAUCCUAUUAAUAAGGUUAAACUAUUAGAGUUGGUUUUAAACUGCAAGGGUGUUUGAGCUACAGUUCGUUGAUAAUUUGGUGUCUGCUGAAGAACUGACUGUUGUAAAAAGCCUAGGUUUAUGAUUUCCCUUUUUUUUGGUGGGGAAGAGAAGAGAGAUGGAGAAAUUUCAAAGGCAGAAAGCUGGGACAUUGAACACAGAAGCCUAGUUCCAUGCAAAUUGGUUUGAGAGGGAUAGAAAAUAUGAACAACUAUAUCUAAAACCAGUUUCUAAUUGUUAUUAAAAUCAGCCUACAGUACAUUUGGAUGGGUGUAUUAACUCUCCUAGAAAAAGAGGCUUCUAUAUUGGUCGUGUUUAGAUCUCCUACACACCCAUUCUCUCUCCCCUAAGGAAUUAUGCACUUUCUGAAGAGGUACGUUUCACAUGGGAUGGAAUAGACCCCUCACCUCGGAGGCUCCUAAAAUAGAUUUUUAGCUUUUGAGGCUCAAUGAUGCGUCUCCUGUUGAAGUCUGCUCUGGGGUGCGUUUGAGAGCAGUGGUCUGUUUGCAGCAGAUGGAAGAGGCUGGCCAUGUUGGGUCCUAUCUUCUCCAUCAAACUGUCUUUGAUGGUGCCGACAGUCUCUUCAUCACAUUCCAGUAAGCUUCUCACGAGCUUGUUGUAAUACCUGGAUAUAUGAACAAGACAGUUACUGCCCAUUAUAUUCUUGUUCUCCCACGGGAGAGAGAGAGAGAGUUGAUGCCAAGCUAGAACAAAUCCAUUUGAAAGAGAGAAUUGAAAUUGUAAGCUAUUACUGCAAGGGGCUGUGGGCCCAGGUCCUGCUCUGUAACAGCUUCAUAGCCAAUACACAAGUUAUAACGUUAGCAUCAACUUACAUAGAUUGCGCUCUAUCCCAGAGACCAUGUACGCAUCUCCAUCUUUGAUUCAUGGAGUUACAGUACAUGUGUUUCUGGGACAAAAUUCUAGUUUACUAGUCCUAGCUGUGCUCCUGUAAAGUUUCUGAACGCUAAAUACACACAUUUGGGUUCUAAUUACUGCUCAAAUUAGAAAUGAUACUCUGAUUUUUUUGGCAAGUCAGUGUUGGACUAGGAGCAAAGUUAUCAAAAAGGUCACAGGUUUAUCAGGACUUAUUCUCUAGUAAAGAACCAUCAAAAUUGUAAACUGCCUUAUUUCAUCCCCACAAACAAGGGUAAUAUCAAGACCAUAAAAUAAUGGACAGAAAUAAGUUAUAGACCCUUAUGCACACUAGAGUAUAAAUUCCCCUAUGCAAAGGUUAUUCCCUAAUCAUUUGCCUUAGGGCUUUUUUUUUUUUUUUUGCAGCUUCCUCGGAAAUAUCUGGCACUGAGCACUAUGUCCACUCCUCUAAAGGAAUCUCUAUAUGCUUCUUAGGACUCUUCUAUGGAGAUUUGACACCAACCCUUUCCCCCCUUCUAUGUAGUCUUUAGAAAGGGCUGAAGAAGAAAACGAGUAGCUACAGCAUGUCUAGAGGCAGAAGGGCCUUCCUCCUUCACGGCUACUGACUGGAGAUUAAAUCAGAGGAAGCUGCAUGACCCUUUAACUACUUCCUGUUGGAAUUCCGUGCCAACUGGCACAUUCUUAUUUUGUGUCUAUGUUGGGACUUGGGCUGGGAAAGCAGGAUGCUUUAGGAGAACUUAGUGUAAACUAUUAGCUGGGAAAUCCUGCUUCUUUUGUUACUCAACAUGUUACAAUAUCCUUUUGCUUCACCGCUAGUCAAAGGCUGUGUGUGGAAGUUUCCUUUACCACAUCUUAUCCCAAGACAGGUCUCUUAAGGAACAGCGACCCUAUCCUAGGGCUAGAUUCUCCACUGCUUUGCACCUUGGGGCGAGACUUGCACUCUGAAAUGGUAGAACAGGUGUAAGUGACCACACAAGGUGCAAAGAUGUAGAGAGAGUCAAGUCACUUGAACUCUUCAUGGGUGCAAAUUAAACAUUUAUACCGAAGAGAUUAUAAAAUUAAGGCCUUGUCUACUAUGUACGCCUGUUACUUGAUACAACACCCCGACCCUUGGGUAGAUGUAGUCAGACAGGUGUUUAUAGCUUACUCCUAUAUAGGAAAGGGAAUAAGUUCCACAGUAGGGAUUGUACUAGUAUAACUAUACUGGUAAAACCCUCCCCCUCCAAGCCAAAAUAAUUAUUACAUUGCAGACAUACCCACGCUAGCUUUACCCUGCCUGUUCCUUGAGAUGACAGUAACCUUCCAUUUUAUCAGGAGUAGGGAAGACUCAGAAUCCUACAACCUAAUGGGUCAUGACAACAUAAAGUCAUGGAAGAGCCAUUUAGCUGGUGCCCUUUUUAAAAGGAAAGCAUUCUCAGUUAUUUAUAUUAAACACAGAAUGAGACUGUUUCAGCAAAGAGAGGUGGAGUUGCCUUGGGAGGAAAUUAAGCUGCAAUAUUCACUAAGAGACGUUCAACAUAAGAAUUAAAGGGACACUCAACUACAUGUCUGAAAAUGUUGCAUCUAACAGCCAUCACUAGAAGUAUAACAAAGUUAACCAAAGAAUUCUCAGCUUUAAGUUCGCUUUGUGCCUUUCAGAGCUCUUAGUCUAGCUGGUUUCCCUCAAUGUACAGAACUUUAUAAACAUGAGCAGGGGGCCAGAAAGUACUAUUUAAAGUGAGCUGUAUCUGGAACAUGUAAAAAUUAAAAGAUAGAGUCAGGUUGAUAGCAUCCUUUUAAAUGUGCUUCAUUCUGUGUUCUUGUAUGUUUCAUGUAAGGAAACAGCCACAUACCUGUUUGAGAAGUGAUUUGGAAACUGGACAACUUCAGUGAUUGCUUCAGGAUUACGCUUUGCAAUGCUGCACAUGUCCAGUUUGCUGUAACAUUCCUCCUGCACCUCUGAGAUCAUUCUUUGGAAAGUGGAACACCUCCGAAUGGCAAGGAAAACCUUGGAAGUAACUCCGUUUGCAAUGCAUUUCAGGCUCUCUUUCACAAAGGCUUUUCCCUGCAAAUUUAGAAGCAGCAGCAUCUUAAUGUGCAACGGCAUAAGUCGGUCAUACAAUGUUAACCAAUAUCCUGGUUUUGCUAAUUGCUGCUAGGUAUGUGUCAAAAGCUUACUCAGCAAUAAAGAAACCCAUUUACAGUCAA